GCACCGCCGAAUACUGUGUUCUUUUUAUCAAUAGUUUACACAGCCAGACACCGUGCAAAAGUACAGUCUUCUCUUUUAGGCAGUUAUGGUGGCAUGCUGAGUUUUUUCCAUACCAUGUCAUUAUUACAGGUGAAUACAAAU
ensembl:snoRNA small nucleolar RNA SNORA15